CCCUAACACAUGCAAGUCGAACGGUAACAGGAAGCAGCUUGCUGCUUCGCUGACGAGUGGCGGACGGGUGAGUAAUGUCUGGGAAACUGCCUGAUGGAGGGGGAUAACUACUGGAAACGGUAGCUAAUACCGCAUAACGUCGCAAGACCAAAGAGGGGGACCUUCGGGCCUCUUGCCAUCGGAUGUGCCCAGAUGGGAUUAGCUAGUAGGUGGGGUAACGGCUCACCUAGGCGACGAUCCCUAGCUGGUCUGAGAGGAUGACCAGCCACACUGGAACUGAGACACGGUCCAGACUCCUACGGGAGGCAGCAGUGGGGAAUAUUGCACAAUGGGCGCAAGCCUGAUGCAGCCAUGCCGCGUGUAUUGAAGAAGGCCUUCGGGUUGUAAAGUACUUUCAGCGGGGAGGAAGGGAGUAAAGUUAAUACCUUUGCUCAUUGACGUUACCCGCAGAAGAAGCACCGGCUGAACUCCGUGCCAGCAGCCGCGGUAAUACGGAGGGUGCAAGCGUUAAUCGGAAUUACUGGGCGUAAAGCGCACGCAGGCGGUUUGUUAAGUCAGAUGUGAAAUCCCCGGGCUCAACCUGGGAACUGCCAUCUGAUACCGGCAACCCCGACUCUCGUAGAGGGGGGUAGAAUUCCAGGUGUAGCGGUGAAAUGCGGGUAGACGAUCAAUGGAGCAAUACCGGUAGCGAAGGCGGCACUCCCUGGACGAAGACUGACGCUCAGGUGCGAAAGCGUGGGGAGCAAACAGGAUUAGAUACCCUGGUAGUCCACGCCGUAAACGAUGUCGACUUGGAGGGUGUGCACUCGAGGCGUGGCUUCCGGAGCUAACGCGUUAAGUCGACCGCCUGGGGAGUACGGCCGCAAGGUUAAAACUCAAAUGAAUUGACGGGGGCCCGCACAAGCGGUGCAGCAUGUGGUCCAAUUCGAUGCAACGCGAAGAACCUGGACCGUGGUCUUGACAUCCACAGAACUUUCCAGAGAUGCAUUGACGCCUUCGGGAAUCCUCUCAGACCAGCUAGCUGCAUGGCUGUCGCCUAGGGCUCGUGUUGUGAAAUGUUGGGUUAAGUCCCGCAACGAGCGCAACCCUUAUCCUUUGUUGCCAGCGGUCCGGCCGGGAACCCCUCAAAGGAGACUUGCCACGUGAUAAACUGCGAGGUCAUUAGCUACCGGAUCCAGUACGUUAUCCAAGACCCUCCAUCAUGGCACUUACGACCAGAGCAUUACUCACACCGUCCGCCACGGAAUGGCGCUAGUAAUCGUCAGCGAAGCAGCAAGCUGAUGCCUCGCUGAGACCAAGUUCGGACCUUGCAUAAAGUGCGUCGUAGGCCUGCCGCCAGUGCAGUCUGCAAUCUCGAGCUCCAUGAAGGAUCAGAACUCUGGCUCAGUAAGUCGUAGAUCAGGUAAUGCCACGGUAGAAUACGAUCCCGGGCUCAGUAAGUCGUACACACCGCCCGUCACACCAUAGGGAGUGGGUUGCAAAAGAAGUAGGUAGCUUAACCUUCGGGAG
rnacentral:rRNA from 1 species